UGGCGGACGGGUGAGUAAUGUCUGGGAAAUGCCUGAUGGAGGGGGAUAACUACUGGAAACGGUAGCUAAUACCGCAUAACGUCGCAAGACCAAAGAGGGGGACCUUCGGGCCUCUUGCCAUCGGAUGUGCCCAGAUGGGAUUAGCUAGUAGGUGGGGUAACGGCUCACCUAGGCGACGAUCCCUAGCUGGUCUGAGAGGAUGACCAGCCACACUGGAACUGAGACACGGUCCAG
rnacentral:rRNA from 1 species